rnacentral:tRNA from 1 species
GCCGGGUUAGCUCAGCGGUAGAGCAGCGGUUUUGUAAACCGAAGGUCGGGAGUUCGAUCCUCUCACCCGGCACCA